rnacentral:lncRNA from 1 species
CAGAUUUACCAAAGCACCAAAGAUAAGGAAGUUAAGGCAGUUCACAUCAAGCCACCUUGAGGAACGUCAUGUGAUGAUCAGGAUACAAGAAACGACGAGGGGGAGGGGGAGAAUUAUCCAACUCUAGUAUUUUACGAGUGUUCUUUUCAGGAAAUGUUUUCCAAUGAGCAAAAAUACUUUGGGAAACAUUUCUUAAGCAUUGAUAAAAAGGUCCAAAUAUUGGAUUGUGUUUUGCAUUGAAAUAUUUGAUGAAAUUUUGAAAUACCAAUAAUAAUGUCUAAGCGUUGGUUAGAACAAGUAAGUAGAAAUAUUCUCAGAGAAAAUUAGGUCCGCUCUUAAGUGAUGAUAGUCAUUUUCUAGGUUUCAAUUGGAAAGGAAUAAUAUUCUAUGACUAACAAUUUAUCACGUGGAUCGACUACGCGAAGCUCAGAUAGUGAAUCCCAACUAAUUUGGGAUCGAUUGGAUGAUUAAUGGAUUGGAAUUUGUAAAGAAGAGAAUGGAGACUUACAAGCUGACGAGAACGUAAAGCAGACAGAGAUUUGCGAGCUAAGAUGGCAGCCAUUAGAGAUGAAAAUGGGGCCUCUUCCUUCAGAACCAGAGCGAUCGAGCAAGAGCUGAAAAGCUAGUUUUGGGUUAAAACGUUGCGUUUUACUACUCUCUAAUACUGCCGCU